rnacentral:rRNA from 1 species
AUUGAACGCUGGCGGCAGGCUUAACACAUGCAAGUCGAGCGAGCGGCGGACGGGUGAGUAAUGUCUGGGAAACUGCCUGAUGGAGGGGGAUAACUACCGGAAACGGUAGCCAAUACCGCAUACCAUCAGAUGUGCCCAGAUGGGUUUAGCUGGUAGGUGGGGUAAUGGCUCACCUAGGCGACGAUGCCUAGCUGGUCUGAGAGGAUGCCCAGCCACACUGGAACUGGAACACGGUCCAGCCUCCUACGGAAGGCAGCAGUGGGGAAUAUUGCACAAUGGGCGCAAGCCUGAUGCAGCCAUGCCGCGUGUGUGAGGAAGGCCUUCGGGUUGUAAAGCACUUUCAGCGAGGAGGCGUUACUCGCAGAAGAAGCACCGGCUAACUCCGUGCCAGCAGCCGCGGUAAUAC